rnacentral:rRNA from 1 species
ACAUGCAAGUCGAACGAGAUUGUCCAGCUUGCUGGACAUGAAAGUGGCGCACGGGUGCGUAACGCGUAUGCAACCUACCUUUAUCUGGGGGAUAGCCCGGAGAAAUCCGGAUUAAUACCGCAUAAAAUCACAGGAUGGCAUUAUCCAAUGAUCAAACAUUUAUGGGAUGAAGAUGGGCAUGCGUGUCAUUAGCUAGUUGGCGGGGUAACGGCCCACCAAGGCGACGAUGACUAGGGGAUCUGAGAGGAUGGCCCCCCACACUGGUACUGAGACACGGACCAGACUCCUACGGGAGGCAGCAGUAAGGAAUAUUGGUCAAUGGAGGCAACUCUGAACCAGCCAUGCCGCGUGCAGGAAGACUGCCCUAUGGGUUGUAAACUGCUUUUAUCCGGGAAUAAACCACAUUACGUGUAAUGUGCUGAAUGUACCGGAAGAAUAAGGAUCGGCUAACUCCGUGCCAGCAGCCGCGGUAAUACGGAGGAUCCAAGCGUUAUCCGGAUUUAUUGGGUUUAAAGGGUGCGUAGGCGGCCUGUUAAGUCAGGGGUGAAAGACGGUAGCUCAACUAUCGCAGUGCCCUUGAUACUGAUGGGCUUGAAUGGACUAGAGGUAGGCGGAAUGAGACAAGUAGCGGUGAAAUGCAUAGAUAUGUCUCAGAACACCGAUUGCGAAGGCAGCUUACUAUGGUCUUAUUGACGCUGAGGCACGAAAGCGUGGGGAUCAAACAGGAUUAGAUACCCUGGUAGUCCACGCCCUAAAACGAUGAACACUCGCUGUUGGCGAUACACAGUCAGCGGCUAAGCGAAAGCGUUAAGUGUUCCACCUGGGGAGUACGCUCGCAAGAGUGAAACUCAAAGGAAUUGACGGGGGCCCGCACAAGCGGAGGAGCAUGUGGUUAAUUCGAUGAUACGCGAGGAACCUUACCCGGGCUUGAAGUUAGUGAUUGAUCUAGAGAUAGAUCAGUGAGCAAUCACACGAAACUAGGUGCUGCAUGCUGU